rnacentral:lncRNA from 1 species
AGCAAUAAUUUUGGGUUAUUCCUCUACUAGUAAAGCUUAUCGAGUGUAUAAUCGACGAACUUUAAUAAUAGAGGAAAGUAUGUAUAUUCUCUUUGAAGAAUAUAAAGGAAAGGAUAUUUCUUAUGAAGAUGACCUUUUUGAUUUCGAGAAGCUAAAUAUAAACUCCACACCUCAAGAUGUUGAACAAUCUAAGGAAGUUGAGAAGUUCAUUUCUAAAGAGAAUGAACCCACUCCUCUACCUAAAGUGUGAAAAUUUGCUACUUAUCAUCCCAAGGACUCCAUCAUUGGAGAUCCAAGUCAAAAGGUCAAAACAAGAUCUUCUCUUAGGUUACUUUGUGACCAUUUGGCUUAUAUAUCUCAAAUUGAACCUAAAAAUUUUAUUGAAACUAGCAAUGAUGAAAAUUGGCUCAUUGCGAUGCAAGAAGAACUCAACCAAUUUGAGAGGAACCAAGUUUGGACGCUUGUACAAAGCCCAAGUGAUCAUACCGUUAUUGGCACUCAAUGGGUCUUCCGAAACAAGCAAGAUGAAUCCGGUGUUGUGGUUCGAAACAAGGCUAGACGAGUGGCCCAAGGUUUCAACCAAAUUGAAGGGAUUGAUUUUGAUGAAACUUUUGCACCGGUUGCUCGACUUGAAGCUAUUCGAAUUCUUUUGGCAUUUGCCUCUUACAUGAAUUUCAAGUUAUUUCAAAUGGAUGUAAAAGGUGCUUUCUUAAAUGGAUAUAUUUCCGAAGAAGUCUAUGUUGAGCAACCACCCGGCUUUGAAAAACAUAGCUUUCCGGAUCACGUUUUUAAACUUUUAAAAGCAUUUUACGGUUUAAAACAAGCUCCUAGGGCUUGGUAUGAAAGACUUAACACUUUUCUUAUUUCAAAUAAUUUUUCAAGAGGAAAAGUUGACACCACAUUAUUUAUCAAAAUUAAGGAUAAAGAUCUUCUCAUUGUACAAAUUUAUGUUGAUGAUAUUAUAUUUGGUGCUACUAACGAAUCUCUUUGCAAAGAAUUCUCUAAGCUAAUGCAAAAUGAGUUUGAAAUGAGCAUGAUGGGCGAGCUCUCAUUCUUCCUUGGACUCCAAGUUAAACAAAUGAAGAAUGGAAUAUUCAUUAAUCAAACCAAGUAUGCAAAAGAUCUAAUCAAAAGAUUUGGCUUGGAAAGCUCAAAAGAGACAAACACUCCAAUGAGUGCUUCAACUAAACUUGACAAAGACGAAAAAGGCAAGGAUGUUGACAUCAAGCUCUACCGAGAUAUGAUUGGUAGUUUGCUUUAUCUUACCGCAAGUAGGCCGGACAUUAUGUUUAGUGUUUGCUUGUGUGCUCGGUUUCAAGCUCAACCUAAGGAGUUACACCUAGUGGCCGUAAAGAGAAUUCUUAGAUAUGUUAAGGGGACUCUCAACUUAGGUUUAUGGUAUCCCAAGGGCACUAGUUUUAAUCACAUUAGCUUUUCGGAUGCCGACUUUGCCGGGUGCAAAGUUGAUCGGAAAAGUACUAGUGGGACUUGUCAAUUUCUUGGUCACUCCUUAGUCUCAUGGUCUUCGAAAAAGCAAAAUUCGGUUGCACUUUCAACCGCCGAAGCCGAGUAUAUCGCGGUGGGUUGUUGUCGUGCACAAGUUUUAUUGAUGAAACAAACCCUUGAGGACUUUGGAGUGCAUCUAAAACAAGUUCCAAUCAAAUGUGAUAAUACUAGUGCCAUCAACCUAUCUAGAAAUCCUAUUCAACAUUCUAGAACUAAACUCAUUGAAAUUAGACAUCAUUUCAUUAGAGAUCAUAUUCUAAAAGGAGAUGUCACUAUAGAUUUUGUGGACACCCAUCAUCAAUUAGCGGACAUUUUUACUAAACCACUUAGUAAGGAUAGGUUCACUCAACUUAGAAGAGAAUUAGGAAUGAUUGAUUUAAAUACUUGAUUUUUUCUUUGUUUUUGAAUGAGUGUUAUUUGCCUCGCUGUUUAUUGGCUGGAAUCAAAUUUUCUUUUUUUGCUUUUUGCAUGCCAGUUUUCGGUCACCCGAAAAAAAUUCCGGGCGCCUGAAACAUGUGGUAACCACGGUAGUCCUAGCGGGUUAUCGGGUUUCGGAUCCGGGCGACCAGUUCGGUUCUCUGUCAUGCCCCGGGACCGGCGGAGGCCCUCCCGGUAGCGUGCCCAGACCCGCCAUAUGUCAACACAUAUAAGGCGUCUACAACAAAAGCGGAAGUAAAAGCAAGAGAUAGAACAAAUAUAAGAAAUGAAAUAACUAGCAACUAGAGAUAUCAGAGCAAGUUCUAUCAUCUGCACCAAAGUAGAGAAAUAAAGCUAGUCAAACAAGGAUAACCAUAAGUAGUACAAUAACUGUCUNUCUCACGGCCCUCUCCGCCCCAUUCCCAAGAAACCCUAACCCUAGAACCGCGAUCGCUCCCUCAUGCGCCGCGUGAUGCCCCGCCGCAGCCCCGCCUCGGCCCGCUCUUCCGACGAACGAUCGGCCGCGAUCGGAUUCGCGGAGAUGAACGCCCGAUCGUAGGCGAGCCCGAUUUGAUCCUUCCGCCUCGUCUUGGACCUCCGAUCGUACGUUGUUUCUCGCAUUUGUUGCCGAUCUUUCCCUUUUUGAUUAAGAAAUUUCAAUUUUUUGGUUUGAAUCUUUUUUUGGGUUCACGACGCUUAGCAAUCGUGCUUUUGGAUGAUCGGUUGCACAGAGGUGGUGAUUUGAUGCUGUUUGAUGCGGUUUGAUGUGGGACGUUUCCAUUUUAGAUCCGUUUCAUGGGGAUAAGAUGGAAAAGUGAUCGACAUGAUCUUGAAUUCUGUGUUCUUUCGUGAUAUCCUGAUGCCAAAAUUAGUAAAAAGGUUCAAUUUUUCCUCUGAUUCCAGUGAGAAAGAGAGAGAGAGAGAGAUUUGAGGAGUCGAUUAAUAAUUGUAGAGAUGAUCGGAUCGCUUCUUCUUGCGGCGAUUCUUGCGAUCGGAUGAUGGAAUUGGCUCCCUUCUUCUUGCCACACUUGAAUCCUUUCAUAAGCCUAUGGUGAUAAGAAUGUUGGCCACCUAUUUAUUCGUGAUUCUUCUUUCUUGAUUUGAUUACCGAUCAGAUGUUGGAUAACACUCUUUAUUUGAUCACCUGUGAGGUGUUUGGGAUUAUCAUAGUUAUCUUCUUGCCAUUUUACAUUUUUCCUCCUUUCUCUUUCAUGAAAUAUGCUGUUAUUUUUGCGUAAUAGCUAAUCUUAUUACCUGAUUUCAGGCUACUUUUUCUUCUUCCUCUUUUGGAGCUAAUUAAUUUGUGUUUCUUCAUUGCAUGACCUUUUGGAUGAGGAUUUAAUAAGAAAGUUCUACGUAUGUGGGGGGAUGUUAUUCUAAUUGAUCUGAUGUUACUUUGAUUUAUCAUCCGGUAAUAUGAAUUUCUAUUAACUCUAAUAUGGCAGAGUUUUCAGUUUUUGCUUAAUAAAAUGUCUUAUCUUUCGACUUCCUAGCUGAUUGCGCAUUUGCUAUUGUUGAUUUUUUUGGGAUUCUAAUUUGUUCAUAUUUCUUUAUGCCAUCACCUUUCAGAUGAGAAGAUUAUAAGUGAUCUCUAUGAACUCGAUGUGGGUGUGACUUGCAUGGGGGAGAGAGAAUGCCAGAGCUUCGAAGUGGGGCCCGACAAACCCGGCAGAAGCCCAAGAAAGACAACGAUCAGCAAGCUGAGAAUUUAAUAUUGCCAGCCACUAAUAGACCAGGAAGAAGGGGGAGAGGAAGAGGCACUAGGGCUGCAAAAGGGACUUCGGCAACACCAGCUAGGCAAAGGGUGGGCGGUAGAGGGAGGGGAGUUUCAGUAAUCGACUUAGAUCCUGAGCAGCCUGGUGAAGCACUUCCUGGAGGUCAAGAGUUGAGAGGAAAUAGAGAAGUUGAGGGCAUUGGUGGCAAAGAUUUGGUGAUGGAUGGUGGAAGUGCUGGGAAAAUUGUAGGAGCUGAGGAUGAAGGGACUGCAGCUCCUGUGCCUGAGAGGGUAUGCACUUCCUACAAUUUAUUUUUAUGACGUAUGGCUACCUAAUCAGACUUCUGUUGCUAUGAACAAUGAUGCUUAUCUUUUUCCUAAUUGAGUUCGUGACAUGUUUUAUUGGUAGCACACAAGCUUUUUUCACAUUAGGGAGCAUGAAUUUCUUACUAAAUGAAUGGGCAGAAACAAGCAAAUACUGUGUUAUAAUGAUCUGAAAAAUUAUUGUUGUAUGCUUAUGUAUUUCUAAAUCUGUGACGAACAUACCAUAUUUACUUCAAAUAUUGUAAAAGCCAGGAUGCUCCCUGAUGAGAGACAGUUGGAAAAUGCCAGUUGACUGGAAAAAUCAAUUUAUUUUACUCAGUUUCUGUAAAAGAAAGUUCAUCUGUAUAGUUUCAUUUGGUCCUGCUCAGUUCCACACACCAUGAAAUUGAAUGAAAGAAGGUGGAAAUUUUAGUAUCAAUUAAAAUUUUAUUUUUUAAUCCGAAGUUUUAAAAGCAGCACAUAUGAGCGCCCAAAUUUUAAAACAAAUGUUUUAAAAGCAGUGCAUGUACCCGCAUGUGCAGCAUAUUGCAUGCAGUACUUCUAUGACGAUCUGUGUAGAUUGCAUCCAUUUGGGGCAUUUGAGGUAGAUGACGAGCACAAGAGCAAGUGACUAUUGCCACACCUUCAGAAGAUACGAGCAAGCUAAACAUGUCACGUGGAUGAUUAGCUACUUAAAAAUAUUAGCAUCAAAAUUGUAUGCAGAUUUCAGAGUUUCUUGUUGUGAUUAUUUAACAUUUUACUGUUAAAAAGUUCUUUCGCAUACUUGAAUCUUGGGCAGUAUUUUAUAAGAUCUAAUGCCAAAAGAAAAACUUUAUUAGGUUUUGAAAAUUUCCUCUUUUUUUUGUACUUCCUUUUGUCUUUUUACAUUCUUUCUCCAAGUUUUCGAAGUCUGCUGUCUAUAGUAAUUUAAUUAUGAAUCAGCCUAUCGAAUAGACACUAUGCUGUAUCUUGAUUGUUGGCAUGCCAUUUUCACCUUUUAGAACAUUGAUUUAACCCUUGAGAAAGCAAGCUAGGAACUCCUUAGUUGCUUCAAGUGAUAGGUGGAAAUUUCUCUAAUGUAUAAAAGGAAAUGAGCCAAAUCAUUACCAUGCCGUAUCAUACUUUCCUCUUUUCUUCCAUUCUCUCCUUACCUCCUCGUUCUCUUUUACCCUUCCCUCUUCUCUUCUCUUCUUUCCCUUUUAUCCUCUCGUUCUAGGUCUUCUAGUUAGUAUUUUGGAAUUUUAUUUCGAAUGUUUGGCUUUCAUUAUAGCAGUUCUUGUCCAACUUUACUAAGUUGCUGAUUAAUUAACAAGAUUAUCGCAGCGGAGCUAAAAUUCUCAUCUCUAUUGCAGGUUCAAGUAGGUAAUUCUCCUGUAUAUAAGAUUGACAGAAAAUUGGGAAAAGGUGGUUUUGGUCAGGUUUAUGUUGGCAGAAGGGUAUCUGGUGGAACCGACCGCACAGGCCCAGAUGCUUUUGAGGUUCACUCUUAACAUUCAGUUUUCCAUAAUCGGCCAGAAAGUAUUGUUUCUUUUUAAUGACACUUCAUUCCUUGAUUCCUUCCUGAAUAAUGUGCAGGUGGCACUAAAAUUUGAGCACCGAAAUAGUAAGGGUUGCAACUAUGGCCCACCAUAUGAGUGGCAAGUUUAUAAGUAGGCACUGACUCAUUAUAUUUUCUUGUGUUAUGAUGGGUCCUCUACAUAUAUGUCCCUGGCAAAAUUAUAUAUUUGCAUAUCUAGUCCUGUAAAUUCUGGAAUAUAUAUACAUCAUGAAAGUGCACUUUCUUAGAAAACAUACUGUCAGAUUCAUGGGCAGAACUUGGUUUUGCAAGGGAGGAAACUUCUUAAGAAGAGUAUUUUUGAAAGAAAGGGUAUAUAUGCAAGAAAUUAUGUUUUUGAAGGGACUAUAUAAUAUUUCAGAUUUAUUGAAUGACAUAUGUCUAAAUAGGUAAUUUCACAGGGAUGUACAUGUAAUUAAAAUCAGUCUGUUUACUUUGUUGAUUCAUCUGAUCUGAUUUCUGGUUUCAAGCACUCUUAAUGGAUGCUAUGGAGUACCAUGGGUUCACUACAAGGGCCGUCAAGGAGACUACUACAUUCUGGUCAGUACAAUCUUCAUUGAUUUCUUAUGUGUCUAGACUUUUUCUCGACGAUAGUGCACUAGGGAAACCAGGGUAUCAUUUUAUCUAACUAUUUAUACUUAUUUGUUAUUUUAGGUCAUGGACAUGCUAGGACCUAGCCUUUGGGAUGUUUGGAAUUCAGUCGGUCAAGCGUAAGAGAAGAUACUAUUCAUCUUCUAGGGCUGGUUUGGCUCAACUGGGGCUUGUUGUAAAUGCUGUCUGAGUAAAGCCGUGCACAAGCUUCAACAGCUUUUUUCAUUAAAAUCCUCGUGAUAGCUUCCCACUGCAGCAAAAGCAGAAGCAGCAAUUUGCUGUAAAUGGAAGCUUCUGCUUUUGGGACCCACUAGCCCAUUGCAGACACCGCAACAAAAGUGCCAGACAAUUUUUAUUUCAAACAUCUGUUAAGUUUGCUAUUUUUCUCAUGCUCAGUAAGUUGCUAAUUCUUGCACAGGAUGUCAGCAAAUAUGGUGGCCUGCAUUGCUGUGGAAGCCAUUUCAAUUCUUGAGAAACUUCACUCUAGGGGGUAACUUUUCCAUUUUGGGCCUUCCAUUUUUGUAGCUAACUGAAUUUUGUUUCCUCUUUUUACUAGUCCAAUCCCUUUAAUGUUAUUUCUUAUCCAGGUUUGUUCAUGGAGAUGUCAAACCUGAAAAUUUUUUACUUGGUCAGCCUGGAACUGCUGAUGAGAAAAAGCUUUAUUUAAUUGAUCUUGGUUUGGGUAUGGCUAUAUUUCAAAUAUUAGUUUCAUUUUCUUAGUUAAUUAAUGUGCUGUUUGUUUUGACGUAACUUGUGGCAUGAACUCAAAGAUCCAUUUAAGUGCUGAGUUCAGCUCUAUGAUUUAGUGAAAAUAACAAAAGUAGAGAAUUAGACCUUCUUUGCAGUGCUUUACUUCCCCGUAAGAAACCUUAUGGGUUCAAAGAGUAAACUUGGACACGUGAAUAAUUAAUCUAACACCAAUCUAUUAAAGCCAACAACUAGAUCUUCUUAUCUAUGGUGACUUCUAGGCAAACAGACAACCAGGCAGAAGUGUACUGAAACUCAAAGUUUCCUUGAACUUCACUUCCUCUUGUUUUUUGUUUUAACUUGCAUUGUCAAACAUUUUGUAAUGGUGCUUCUGAAUGGAGCCUUCAAGCUUCUAGUCACUUCUGCUCUCUGUACUAUUUAAAUGGAUUUUUUUUCCUCCUUAAUUUUGUGUACUCGACAUAUUUAUGAUGCAGCAUCUAAAUGGAAGGAAGCAUCAUCGGGUCAACAUGUUGAAUAUGAUCAGAGGCCAGAUAUUUUUAGGUUUGUUUCUUUCAUUUUUAUUUAUUUUUUAUUUUUUUUAUUUUUUCAGUUUUUAUAUUUAUCUCCUUCACAUAAUUUUUUUUUCUUUCUUUCUUUCUUUCCCUAUUUCGGUGGCAGGGGUACAAUAAGGUAUGCAAGUGUGCAUGCCCAUUUAGGCCGGACAGGAAGUAGGAGGGAUGACUUGGAGUCACUGGCCUAUACGUUAAUAUUUCUCCUCAAAGGAAGAUUGCCCUGGCAAGGCUAUCAGGUACUAUUUUAGCUGUAAUAUUUACAUAUACCCCAUACAAAAUAUCUAUUCAUGUAUGUGCUGUACAAAAUCAGAUUUGUAUAUACAGGCUUUAAAUUUUGGUUUCUUAUUAUAUAUGCCUGAUCGCCUUCAAAGUUCCUCUCUACAAAAAGCAUGAAACCAACCACUUCCCAGAAAUUGGAUGACCCUCCAACUUCAGAUAUUUUUGCGAGAAACAACAGUUUCGAGGGGUAUAUGAAAAAUCAAAUUUUACAUGGGGUUGUGUGUAUAUGUGUAUAUGUGACUUUUUUCUUAGCUUUUAAUAAAGUCUUUUUUUUACUGUAGAAUUUUACUUUGUACUUAAUCGAACCUUUUUCUUAUUUUGGUUAAUAAUGCAGGGAGAUAACAAAAGCUUUCUUGUAUGUAAGAAAAAAAUGGCUACUUCAGCAGAGCUUUUGUGCUGUUUCUGUCCACUUCCAUUCAAGCACUUUCUUGAGACUGUGACAAACAUGAAGUUUGAUGAAGAGCCAAACUAUGCCAAACUCAUUUCCCUUUUUGAUAGUUUAAUCGAACCAUGCACUUCUUCAAGACCUAUCAGAAUUGAUGGUGCUCUAAAGGUCAUUUCAAUCAGAAUUGAUCUUUCAAUUCCAUUAUCCAAUAACAGUUAUUUUUGUGACUUUCAAAUUUUAUCAUUUCUAUUACCUGUUUUGCCCAGCUGGAGCUACUGGUAAAGUGGUGUUGAGAAAAAUCUAUAGAGGAGAACUAAGAACCUUUUCAUUAUAGCCUUCCACCCACCGAAAACAAAGCAAAGCAUUAAUUUCAGAUUAGAGAUUCUGCUUUGGGGCCACAACUGCUGAUUUAGCUCACACCAAACCAAAAGCUGCAGACAUUUCAUUUGCCAAACACAUAGUUGCUUCUUUCAGGAAGAGAGGAGCUAUUUAAAAAGUCACACAUAGUUGCUUCUUUCAGGAAGAGAGUAGCUAUUUUAAAAGUCAGGCCAAACAAGCCCUUACUAAAUUUGCUUCAAUAUGUUUCCUUUACAUAUGUAGGUUGGACAGAAACGUGGAAGGUUGGCCGUAAACCUUGAAGAAGAUGAGCAACCCAAGAAGAAAGUUCGUUUAGGAAGCCCAGCUACACAAUGGAUUUCAGUUUACAAUGCUAGGCGACCUAUGAAGCAGAGGUAAUUAAACAAAUUGUGCAUUUAAUUUGAAAUUUACGUACUUGUCCUUUUAGCUGCCGGAAAGAUUCUUAUAUGUUUAUGACUUGCAAUUUAAUCUAUUUUUCAAGUUAAGAAUUAUGUGUGUUUGAUUGGUAAUCACUAGGAUUUCUUCCAUAUGUAGUACAAAUCUAUUAAGCUUCAUGUUUACCUAUGUUGGCUAUUUUAUUUGAUAUUUGGCAAGAGCUCUGUGUUUUGCUGUGAGUUUCCAAUAAAAUUGUUGGUUUUAAGUUACUUUUAUUUUAGCAGCUUUACACAUCUGGAAUAUUCUUAAUGAAAGUCGGCCUAAUCUUGAGAGAAUUUAAUCGUUGCAAAAAUUUUGAUGGCAAGUAUAUUUAUAUUAAAUUGAAUUAAAUAUGCAGUCUAUGGACUGAUAGAACAUGCUCACAGAGAUGUGAACUGCUUCAUUGUUCAUUUCACUUAGAAAUUAAAGAUCUGAACUCCAGAGUUGGGGAUGAAAAGCAUGAGUUGGGGAUGAAAAACAUACAUCAGAAUUGUUGCUGCCGCUUGUGACAUGUGGGCAAAGCAACCUUCAUCAUUAUAUACAACACUAUGAUCACAUCUUGAUCAUGGCUUCUGCUCUCUCUCUCUCUCUCUCUUCUUUUGCAUGGUAAUAACAAUUGAAAUUUUGAGCUCAAGAUUUUCUUUCCACAGAUACCACUAUAAUGUAGCAGAUGCUAGACUCCAGCAACAUAUACAGAAGGGCAAUGAAGAUGGCUUGUAUAUUAGUUCGGUGGCGUCAUCAACAAAUCUUUGGGCCCUCAUUAUGGAUGCAGGAACCGGUUUCUCUUCUCAAGUUUAUGAACUGUCGCCUGUAUUCCUGCACAAGGUAUGGUAGUGUGUUUGUGUUUAGCACUUAACUCCCUUCAGAUUUUCCAUCCAGUAAAUAUUGAAAUAUCAUCUGAAACUUCCAUCAUUUCAUUUACUGGAUGUGUGUUUGUGUUUAGCACUUAACUCCCUUCAGAUUUUCCAUCCAGUAAAUAUUGAAAUAUCAUCUGAAACUUCCAUCAUUUCAUUUAUGAUAUUUGCGUUACUUUAAUGCAAAAAUUUGAAGGAAAUGGGUUAAGUGCUAGCAGUCUAAAUGUUGAGGGAGCUUAGAUGUAGUUUUCUUUUUCAACGGUUCAAAGUGCAAAUCGCAAUUAUUUUGGCUGGUUUUCAGCUUUAUUCUUAUUUUCAUUUAGUUGCUAUCUUUAUUUGUAAGCACUGAUGACUGUUUUCGCACGGGUUCUUUGUUAGGAUUGGAUUAUGGCAUACUGGGAAAAGAAUUAUUAUAUCAGUUCCAUAUCUGGUGGGACAAAUGGAAGUUCACUUGUGGUUAUGUCUAGAGGUUAGAUAUUUUCUCAUAGUAUGUAGACAAGUAGAAAUGCAUUUAAGAUUGGAGCGUAUGAUUGUUAUGUAUAUUAAUAGUAACAAAUAUUCUCACAUAUAAAUAUACUCAUCUAUGAUUCUAUAUAAUUUCUGAUGCAGUCGUUAAUUAUCAGACAAGGUUAUUAACCAGUAGAAAGCAAUUUUAUAUAGGAGUCUUAGCAUGUUUAUGUGAAACUUGUUACCGAAUAUCUUUACUGUUCGAAAAUCAUCUGUUUACAUAUGAAUACCAUGUAAAACCUGAAUUUUCAUGUGUACCCUCAAAAGUGCAAUAUUUUACAAAAACAUCCUUAUAUUAAGUUGUGGAUGCAUCCAGUUCUUGAGAGAAGUGAUUUUUAAAUAGUAAACAUUUCUAAAAUGGAACAUAUUUUUAGGAAAACAGUCACACACACACACAUUUUGAAGCUUUCUGAUCACUAGACAAAAGAUGUCGAAAAAUCAUGAAAUUUGAUAUGAUCCCUAGAUACUUCUAAUAGUGUAGAUCAUGUUUAAUAGAGCCGACCAUCAAUUUGGAUGUUCCAUCGUUGGGAAGAAAGUGGAAAUCUUCCGUAAGCAAUCUAAUACAGAAAAUUUACCUGUUUUCACCAAGUAGUUCUUUUCUUUCGCAUGCAUAAAAUAUAUCUUCAUUUUUUACGUACCUUUUAAUACUUAUAAAAAUUGUUCAUUUCCCAACUGUGCUCCUGAUUUUUGGUGUCAGGAACUUCGUACACCCAACAGUCAUAUAAAGUCAGCGAGUCAUUUCCCUAUAAGUGGAUUAACAAAAAGUGGAAGGAAGGUUUUCACGUAACAUCCAUGACUACUGCGGGUAAUCGUUGGGGGGUUGUUAUGUCACGGAAUUCCGGCUAUUCUGAUCAGGUAAUGUUUUCUAACACUUUUAUAUGUUUGAAUAUAUUUAUUUUCUUUAUUUUUGUAACUUGAAGGGGCCAUUGCUUGGUUCAGUGAUAAAUGCCUUUUGGCUUACUGACUAAUUAGUGUCUCGAAUUCAUGUCUCUCCUAUUGUUUCACUUUGGUGCGACCAUAACUGGGUAUUUGAACUUCUUUUCAUAGUUGUAGAAAUCAGUUUUUAAAGCAAACAAUUUAUGUCUUUGUUGUUACCAAAAUCUCUACUUGUGUAGCAACCAGCAUUUUUUCUUUCAGUAAAGAUGCUCGUUCAUGUGCGUUUCACCCUUUUUUCUUUUUUGCUUCUCGUCUUUUGAGAUCUUCUUCUCUUCUUCAUGUGUUAAGUGUGUAUGUGGAUUUUCAUUUGUAUUUGUAACUAAGAUUUAACUCUAUAUGAAACUCGGUCUCUUCUCAACAUUGUUGGAAAGACCUGAAGGACAGAAUUUUGAUGUUUUACCUGUUAAAAUUUCCUCUAAAAAUUAGAAGAGAAACAAAAUGCCGAUAUUCCCAUAUCUUGAUGAAAUUGACAAAUUAUUCUGCACAUUGAAAAAGUUGUGAUUUCACACACAAUUUAUUUCUCAUAAGUUUGCUAGAUUUGUACAGAAGUGUUAAAAAUAUUCUUCUGAAAUUUUGCGUUUCAUUAAGUUCUUCAACUUGCUAUUAGUGAUUUUUAUUUUUCAAUUAUUAAAGAAGUUGGGAUUGCUCAAUUAAUGAAUGGCUUGGUUCAUGAAUGCCCUUGUGAUGUAGGUAGUAGAGCUAGAUUUUCUUUAUCCUAGUGAGGGCAUUCAUCGCCGAUGGGAAAGUGGUUAUAGAAUCACAUCUACAGCAGCCACUCCUGAUCAAGCCGCUUUUAUUUUGAGUAUACCAAAGAGAAAAUUGAUGGAUGAGACACAAGAAACUCUGCGUACUUCAGCCUUUCCGAGCAACCAUGUGAAGGUAUAACUAUUUUGCUUAAUUGUCAAAAAUAAGUAGUGUUAGGAAAAAUUUCACUACUGCCCCUCUAAUGACACAUAGUUGUGUCGAUGCCCUUUACAAGUUUAAAAUAUCACGCAUGCCCUUAUACUUGUGUGCAUAAUAUAAAUUGUACUCUUUAAAGUAUUAUAAGAAGAGCCAAAAUUUGAUUUUGCGAAACAAUAUUGUGCUUUCAUAGGGGUGUUUGUGAUAUUUCGAACUUUGGAGGGAUAUGCAUGAUUUCAAGGGGCACAUACUAAAUCGACUUGAUUUAAUCAUCAAAUGAUAUCUCAUGGUUGUAGAGACUAUCAGUCUUUCGGGCUUAUUUGGCCCGGCUAAAGCUUCUUCGGAAGUGCUUACUUAGAAGGGAGAAAGAACUAAGGUUUUCUUUUUCACAUUAAAUCCAUGUUUCCACCUCUAUAAGCAAAAGUUUUUAAGUUAACAGCAUCUACUUUGGGGGUCAAGGAGUUUGUUCCAGGCUCUUGCAACCGCAAAAGCUCAGGUUGUCUUGUUCUUGUAUGACGCGAUAUGUUACCAGUUCACUGCGAUCUACUUUCUUAGACUAGUCUUAUAUUUUAUUCAAACUUGUAUUCUAUCAAUUAUAUACCAGCCUCUUCAUGGUGGAGAUGAUACAAAAACUUUACUAGCACUUACAGGCAACAAAUGUAUAUGUGCUUUUUUCGUAGGAAAAAUGGGCCAAGAAUCUUUAUAUUGCAUCAAUCUGCUACGGUCGAACUGUCUCUUGAAACUAGACGAGGCAGAAGAAGUAAUUCGACGCCGCAUUCAAUUUUGGAAACAUGAGGGUCCUGUUCAUCUAUCAACCAUCAUAUAUGUAAGUGCUAAGUUGCAUUUAAUAUUUUCCUAUAGAAUCGGCAUUUUUAAAGCAUUAAAAGAAUGGGGGGAAAGAGAAGAGGCAUAAAGGCCUCUUUAGUAAUCUGUUUAUCUGUAAAAGAAAGAAAUGCUGUAUUGAGGUCUGUAUACAUGCCAGAUUGUUUUAUUAUUUUGCUUCCCUUUUUUUUGGCAAUUGAAAGCUUAAAGUCAAGGCUUUCUCAAUUGCAUUAGUCACUUAAAUUAGCGCAAGUGGGAAAAUAAGUAUGCAAUUAUUUGGUGAUUGAAACUGUAGCAUGUAAUUAUAAUUAUGUCUAAUCACAUUGCAAUUGAAAGCUUAAAUUCAAGGCUUUCUCAAUUGCACAAGUCACUUAAAUUAGUGCAAGUGGGAAAAUAAGUAUGCAAUUAUAUCUAAUCAGAUUGCAAGCUACUAACAGAUGGUGAUGGUUGGCUCUGAAGCCUUCACACCUAGUUAUUCUCUUUUAGGUUUAAGGGGUAUUUUAGUAAUUUCAUGCGGAAACUAAUGGUAAAUAAGUUGUUUUGAACUCGUAUAUAAUAUUUAGCCUGGUUUGCUUCUAAAAGCAUCAAGGCCAAACUUUAGGCCAAUAGCUGCUCUCUAUACUUAACUAAGUGCCCCCCCCUUAUAAAUAAAUAUUAUAAUUUUGAUAUAUAGUAUUUAUAACUGAAUUAGACUGAAAAUAUUAUCAUUAUUUUAUCGAAGAAAAAUUUGAAAGAAAUCAUACAUUUCUGUCCAUUAUGUCAAAAAAGAUUGAUCUUCUCCCAGUCAUUGCCUAUAUUAAAAGUAAACUGAAAUAAAUAAUAUAGUAAACAUUAUCACUAUUUCAUGAAGUAGAUAAGAUUAGUAAAUGAAAUCUUCAGUUUCUGGAAUAGGUGGAUUAAGAACAAUUUUAUUGGCAAAAUUCGUAGCUACGUAAAUUUAUCCAUGUGCAGAUGAGAACAAUUUUACAGAGAGGGAUUAUGUAGGAGAUAUUAUGUUGGCGGCUAAGUAUUACAAUAUUGGCGGCGGGGAUAUUAAUGAGUUUUCAAAUCACACAUAUAUGAUGGACAAUGGAGAUAUCAUAUAGGGGGGAUCUAAUUGAAUGUUAUAUAAGCUUCACAUCAGACGUAUGAUAUGCAAUGGAUAUAUUACAUACAGGAUCUAAUUGGAUAUUAUAUAGGUAUUACAUUUAUUAGGAGAUGGAUUACAUUUUUUAGGAGAUGAAUUAUGCGUAAGAUAAGGCAAUAUUAGAUGGUGAUGAUGAUAGGGAACGAAGAUAUUAAUAAGAGAUGGAGUAGGUCGAGGAGAUAUUAAUUAGAUGUUGACACGUGAUAGACAACGAUGUAAUAGUAUUAUAUGUUAUAUAUGUAGGCGCGCAAUAUUAAUAUCAUGCGUUGGAUACGAGUAUGAUAGGCCCAUGUCUAGUCAUUUUGAAUCAUUCGUUUCAAAUGGCUUACAAAUGAUCAGUUAUUCUAUUCAUUUCAAAUGACUUACAGAUGAUCAAUUCUAUUUUCAAAAGUGGUUCUUUAGAUAAAUUAAAAGAACCACUUUUUUUGGGCCAAAAAUGAUAUUUAUACCUGCAAAUUCUUUAAUUGUAUAAAUCAUGCCAAAAAUGAUUUAAGUCAUGCAAACCUUUUAUACAAAAAAUAAUUUAGAUUAUACCAUUCAUACUAUUUUAUUUUACAUUCAAAAACUUUUAUACUUGAGACCCCUUUAAUUAAUACAAAUCAUAUCAUUUAUUAUGAUAAAAAAAUGAUUGAAGACACUCAAUCUUUAGGAUAUUUAUGAAUCAAUCCCCUAACUUUUUUGCUACUAAAUGACAAAUGAAAUAUUUAACAAUUUACAUACUAAAAAUAAUCCAAACAAAAUUUAAAAUGAAACAGUAUCCAAAAUAUUAUUAUUUAAUAAAAUCUCCUUAAAAUAUUUUUUUUCUACAUAUUAUUUAAUUUCCAUGCAAAUCUUCUACAUCAGAGAAUAAAAAAUUAUAUAAUUUAUUUAGAUAAAAAUGUAGGAACUCUCCCUCAUCUAUAAGCAAUUUAUCUCCUAAUUUUUUUAUUAACAUACACAUAAUUACUAAUUAAGCCAAAUAAAUUAAAAUUUAAACCAAAAUUUUAAAAAAAUUUAGUAAUAUAUUUUAAUCAUAUUAAUUUUUUAUGAUCUAUUUAAAAUUUAAAAGUCGUUAAUAUUUAAUCUUUUUAAAUUUUAGAAAAAUAUUUUAUUAUUUUGAAUAAAUAAAUUGUGUAAUGUCUAUAUAUGUUUAAUCAUUCGUGAUAUAUAGCACAUUAAGCUAUUCCAUUUAUUAUGAUUUUGAAUUAUUAUAUUGUUUUGAGUUUUUUCCUAAUAUCAUUUUAAAGAAUUUUUUUAUUUGUAAAAAAAUUUUAAACAUUGUUUGAUUUUUAAAUUUCCGUGGGACUUAAUCUACAUGUAUUAGAAGUUUGAAAAAAUUAGAUUUUUUUUAAAAAUUAAAAGUUAUGCAUUUAGUUUUCCAAAAAUUUUAACCAGUAUAUAUUAUAUUUUUAAUAUUUUAUGUAACGUGUAUUUCACGUGCACUUAGCUAGUAAAUCUAAGCUAGAAACUAAAAUGAAGAAUUAGGUAUAGAUUAAGAAUAUUGGGUAGAACCAAAAUACUUUUUCAAUUGUCAAAAAAAUGAUUGUUUCGGUGAGUAGAAUGACGACGAAGUGCUGCCAAAUGUGACGAUAACGAUAUGCUAGCGAAGGCGACAAUGAUUGGCGAAGGUGAUGACGAUGACGUGUUGCUGCCAGUGAGGAGGACAAUGAUGUGUCGGAAGGACGAUGACUUACGCAAUUAAUAUGAGAGAUAAAAGAUCAUGAAAAUGCAAACUUAUUGGCAGUUAAAGAUCUUAAAAAGUAAAACAAAGUAUACAAAAGACAAAUUAGAUAGAAAAUUAUAUAGAUCUUAAAAAGUAAAACAAAGUAUACAAAGACGAAUUAGAUAAAAAAUUAUAUUAUGACAUAUUAAAAUGAAUUAGGUGGAGCUAAAAUAGAGCUAAAAUACCUUUCCAACUGUGACGAAGGUGAUCAGGGACUACGACGAUGAGGAACAAAUAAAAUAUUACUAAAAUAAUAUUUGAGAAAAUAAAAAUUUGAGAAAAUGUAUAGUGGAAAUGAAAAAGAAUAUGCUUUAUAUUUAAAAAACGUAUAGAUGAAGAUGAGAAAGUAUUGAAAAAAGUUAUACUUUAUGUAUGAAUAAGUAUUAUGAUGAGAUCAAAUUAGUUAGGGAAGGAAAAUUUUAUAUGCGAGUUAUUAAGAUAUUUUUUAUAUUAAGAUAUAUUGAGAUAAAAUUGGGUAGGGAAGGAAAAUUUUAUAUGCAAGGGUAUUAAGAUAUUUUUUAUAUUAUGCGUAGAUGGCGGGCGGGUAUUACAUGAGAGAAAUAUUAAAUAUUUCGCUAUAUUUUUCAAUUUUUGACGAAUUCAAAUUUUAAAUAUAUAUAUAUAUAUAUAUAUAUAUUAAAGUAAAAAUAUUAAAAUUUUAAUUAUGUUUAAUUUUAAGAGUUAAAAUUUAAUUUCGAUCUACUUUAAGAUUUAAAUUUAAAAAUUUAAAAAUUUUUAAAAUUUAAUUUCGAUUCACUUUAAGAUCUAAAUUCAAAUACAUGGGUAGUGGAGAUAUUAUAUACUUUUGAAAAAU